AGCAGGUGAAGGCAGAAUAAUGUCGGAGAUUGGAUAAUUCCCAUUUAUGAUAUCAUGAUUCCGAGUUGGUUGUGUUCAGGUGCUUUUUUGUCGGAAAGAAUGGAGGACGCCUGGUUCAUGUCUUGGGAAAAUGUUAUAUGGUAAUAGUUUUAUCAACCGUACAUCCUACUGUACAGUUUUACUAGUCAGUUUGAUGACUAUUCUGGAAUAGUGGUGAAAUACAUGCUAUUUUCGCAGUAAAGGGGAACCGAAUAAGUAAAGGUUUUUGCAAGCGAUUUGGUGCCAGGCGUCGCUCAUUUUCAGACCGAAGAUGACGGGAGGGGAUGUAGACCUGGAGCACUGGGUUAAGGUUUCUUUGGUCAAAUGUUCAUACAGGAAAAAUGAGAUCCUGGAAGUGACGGUAUAAAAGACAGCUCUACGUUCCUCUCAGCUCUACAUCACUGUAAAGGUUUCAGCUCAAUUCAGCAGAAUGAUGAAGGUUCUUCUACUGGCACUGGUGUUGACUGAUGACCAGGUCGAGGAAGCUGUUACGGUAAUCUUUGGGUCAUGUGGAGAGAGGUGGUUGCCUUUGUGCUGAAGAUAAACACAUCUUUGCGGUCACAACUACAUCUCAGUAAGGAUGC